rnacentral:ncRNA from 1 species
GGUGCGAAGCUACCAUCUGAGGGAUUAUGACUGAACGCCUCUAGGGGAGAAUCCCGCCUGGAAAGCGACGAUGCAUUCGUGCCUCGGCCUCGAGAGGCGUAUCUAGACGGCCGCGUGGCCGUGGAAAGAGCCCGAUUCCGACCCGAGAGGCCGCGGCAAGAGGCGGCCUCGAAGUCGGUGGAUCCUCCUGCUCGAAGGGGGGGGUGCUAAACCAUUCGCAGACGACCUAGUUGAAGAUCGGGGUGUCGUGAUCACUAGAGCAGUACAUCUCACUGCGAUUUGUUGAGAGUAAGCCUCAAGAUCUGUCGGUUUGU